rnacentral:rRNA from 1 species
UACGUAGGGGGCAAGCGUUAUCCGGAUUUACUGGGUGUAAAGGGAGCGUAGACGGCGCUGCAAGUCCGGAGUGAAAGCCCAUGGCUUAACCAUGGUACUGCUCUGGAAACUGUGGAGCCUGAGUGCGGGAGGGGCAGGCGGAAUUCCUAGUGUAGCGGUGAAAUGCGUAGAUAUUAGGAGGAACACCGGCGGCGAAGGCGGCCUGCUGGACCGUAACUGACGUUGAGGCUCGAAAGCGUGGGGAGCAAACAGG